UACUGUAGAGAGCAGUUUUGCGAUUAAAUCGCUUAUCACUUAUCAUCAGUGCAGUUUAUUAGAAAAUGGUGCAAGGUACCAUGAAAUUGAUGUUGCUGAUAGCCAUGGCCAUUUUGUAUACUGCCGUGGGGGCGAAUCCUGUUGCUCAAAACAUGAUUGUAGUCGGACCAUCAAAUCCAUACGUCCCCUAUGUGCCAGUUGUAAACACCGGGUGGGGGGUUACGUAUCCUGGAUAUAACCCAUGUUAUACGGGUUAUUGCUUUGGCAAUCCUGUCGUCUAUACCGAUGUUGUCGGACCUGGUGUUGUGUACUCAUCAGGACUUACACGAUUUGCUCGAAGCUCUAACAGAAAAUAAUUGUUGUGGCUUUUCUCAAUAAAGUCAUGUCUCAUAUAAAAAGCAAA
rnacentral:sRNA from 1 species